GUGAAACUUGUAGCUGGACUGAUUCUGAGAACCAAAUGCUAAUCCUAAGUAUUAGAAAAAGCUGGAAGCUGCUCUGGAUUAGCAUGUAAAACUUGGAGCAUAGAAAUGAGGGAGCAAAGGAGGGCCGCCAUCAGAGAGAGAAGAGUGUCUGAGCACUAGGUGUUAGCGAUCUGGCCUUCAGUCCAGCUAGAGUAUCAUAGUGGGAGCAGAGAGAAAGAGGUCACAAGACGGCCACGAAGGCCCAAUGCAGAGCACACCUACUGCACAUGACUCUGCACCUCAUGUCCAGUGUCACGGUCAGUUGAGGAAGUCACGUUACCAAGUCACAGUGCACCCCCCAGCUAGAUUACCUUCUGUGGAACCUGCUACAUCCUGGUAGUCAGGCCCUGGAUCCUCUGGCUCCGGUGCAUAAACGCCCCCUACAUCUUGGAUUUUAACUGUGUUUUCCUUGCUGCUUCCUCGUAUAGAGAGACGCUUCUACAGCUGCCUUUGACCACGACCUGAGUUGCUGUGACUACACACAUCGAUGUCUGCUUUUCUGCAUCGCUGUCUGUGAGCUGUGCCAGUGUGUGACUGCCUGAGCCACCUCUCACAUCUCCAUCACUGAGUACUUGCAGCCCCUGAACCCUAACAAGCUGCUUUGUCUCUGGAGUCCAGUCCCAGCCACUGUCCCUCUGUGGAGCUGGGAAUGGCGUCCAAGUUCCCCAGUGCGAGACCCUUUGUUCUGAGAUCACAGAGCACAGUGGAAACAAUGGGCGCCCAGGCAGCGUGGACCAGACCGGGAGCGUCUCGCUGUCUAACGAGCAGUCCAUAUUUGGGGGGUUGGAAGUACAGGUUCUGGGCUCUACUCUUAUGGUCAAGCUUUCUUAAUCACCGGCGAUUGCCUCUCCUUGUCUGAGCCUCCUUGUCUCCUUCCUUUUCCCAGCUGUCUGCUUUUCUGUUUCAGUCUUGGAAAUGUGCACACCAUUCUGCACUGGACAGCACAGGCUGAAAGAAGAAGAAUCUUACAUGGUCACCUUCGCCCACACAGUGCGGGCCAACGUGCCUUCCCCUUGCGGUGCGACGCCUGCGCGGCACCCAUCUCCCAGGGCUGGAGGGUCCUGGCCAGGAAGCCAUCGCCACCGCGUCCAGGUCAGGAGAAGGCUGCGGACCUGGUUCCGGCGGAGAAAGCAGCCAGCUCCGGGCCCCCAGGCUGCCCACGGAGUCGCUGGAGACUGGAGGAGCUCCUGACCCUCACCACCCAGACUCGAACUCACAGGAACAAGGGCAAGGCCACUGCGGGCCUCUGACAUCCGGUGGCCCCAGGGCUGAUGGAAGAGCUGCCUUUCCGCUGCAGGUCGAGUAGGGGGACGCCGCUGCUUCUGACCGUAUGGCGGACGGCUUCAGUAGCUCUCACGAUGCUGUCAUGGGGGGAAACGCGUUGUGGGUGUUUAGGAUAUGAACCUUUUGUGUGCCACUAGUUCGUAUAAGAUCAACUGCUUAUCAGUAGUUUGCCCGGAUUCGAGGAGCCAGAGAACGUUUUCGUACUGGAUCUGUCCUGCGAGUGGGCUUUGUCCUAUUGUCCCGUUCUGAUUUGGAUUGGGAAGGACAGCUCUUGCUUCUUACUGUACAGGCUUCAAAUAAAAGCAUUUGCUAUUC
rnacentral:lncRNA from 1 species